CAGGCAGCCUCCGUGAGAGCAGUAGAGCAGCAGGCUGUCUGCGCUAUGGCUGCUGAACUGCAUUUCUGGCCACCUGAGAUCCCUGAGCCCACGCUAAUGAGGAACAUGCUGCACCACGGACUCUUCUACGGAGCCGUUUUGCAGCUUCUCUGUGCUGGCCAUCAUGCUGCCAGUUUCCAAGUUCCCAAAGGCAGACUCGGAGAGUCUGGGGACUGAGACUUGGGAGAGAAUGAAGAAAUCCUAGGCAAGGCAAGUGCUGCUCAGCUGAGGAAGAAAGCCGAGAAGGAAAGCAGAAAGCAACGAUGAUGGCCUGAGCAAGAAGCUACAAAGGACAGCAGAACCACCUGCAGCGCUUCCUCGGAGGUGGCACCAAAAGCUGCUGACUCAACAGUCCAGUUUACUGGCACAGCCGUGCUUUCCCUGUCAUGGACGGUGGAGAUGAUGGAAGUGAACUGGACAGGAAGGACUUGUGCUGCGUUAGAAGCAAUGAGGGCUUCACAUAGGCAGGACUUGGUGUAUGGCAAGAGCUGGAGACGCUGCGUUCCUUCAGGGCUGGUAGCAGAAUGGAGACUUUCCCGAGGCACUGAGGAACAGACACAAGCUUCUUUUGAAGGCUUCAAUGAAAUUCUGCCCCAGCAGUAUCUGUGGUCUUUUGAUGCUAAGGAGCUGGACGUAAAGGAUUCUUUGACUAUUGCCAGAUCCAGGCUGCUACAGGUAAUACUUGCAUUUCAGUCAGUGUCUGAAGAGCAAAGUUCAUUAAGGCUGGCGGUUCUGUUUUCAGGAUGUGUGAGAGAAGCCUUAUGUAUCAGUUAGUAUUUGGUUACUGUGUUGGUCUUCACUUUCUUCUUUGCAACCAAUUUACACGUUUCUAACGUUAAGAUUCUGCCAGCAUAAAUUUUUUGGCUAACAGUGUUUUUGUAGUCCUUGACAAUGUGAUUUGCGUGUGUCUAAAGAGUGAGCA
rnacentral:lncRNA from 1 species